CUGGCUCUUUAUGGAGCAACAUCUAGGAUUGUCCCCUUGGAGGUGUGAUCAGCUCUCCAGGCUGCCCGUGUGGACAGCACCUACGAAGACCCCAGGCGCAUAGGUGUGUCUACACCACGGGAAGAACUCAUGUGUCUCUUGUCUCCCAAUAUGUCCCCCAAAGGAGACCAGCUGGUGUGGAAAGAGGCGCUUCUGGAGGCUGAUACCAGGCACACAGGCCAAGAGGCGCUUCAAGUCCUCGCCCUCAUCUAUGUGGAUCCUACUCAGGAGUUUACUCAAGGGGAGCAAGUCCUUGCUGGGAAAACAUCUUGAUAUUCAUCCAUUGCCAGAUGGUUAUUUUGAAAUGUGUGAUUUUGUUAUUCCUUAUUAUAGAUCAUGUUAACGAUA